GCUCCUGUAGCUCAGUCGGUAGAGCGCUUCCAUGGUAAGGAAGAGGUCGCAGGUUCGAUUCCCGUCGGGUGCA
rnacentral:tRNA from 1 species